UCUGAUGUUUGAUUCCUCUGAUGUCGAUUCCUCUGAUGAAGUCAUUCCUCUGACUGUUGAUUUCUCUGGCGAGCAUUCCUCUGUUUUGGCGAGUAUUUCCUUCUCUGCUCUGCCAAGCUAGUCUACUCUGCUCUGCUGAGUUCUUCCACCCUGACCACCGAGCAUUUCUCUGCUCUGGUCUCCGAGUCUGACUUAUGUUUGUUUGUUUGUGAUAUGUUUAUAUGUGAGGUUGCAUGCUUAUGUGAUUGUGCAUGCCGACAUGUUUAUUUGCCUUGAGUAUGGUCCGAGUUGAGAGUUAUGUCGAGAGUAAGACGUGGGAAAUCCUUAGAAGUCGAGUAUGCCUAGGGAUUUAGUUUUACUGGGUAAAUAGACGUUGAGUGAGAAGUUAUCGAUGAAACGAGAUUGGAUUUUAGUAUUGAGAUCUAACUGAGGUUUGUUUUAUCACAUGAACUUUCGUGAUGAUGUUGAUGACUCAUGAAGACCCGAGCGAGACGAAGAAGUAAGUCACCUGUUCCUAUCCGAGCUUAAGCAAAGGACUCCAGGCUAAGCUCUGGAGCGAGAUUGGACUGGUGCUGGUGGGGACUGUUUCGUUGAUGAAGCUCCUUUGAUGUUUUACUUGAUGUUAGAGUCUUAAGAAUGAUGUGCUUUGUUUUCCUUCUGAUGUUGAUAAAACCUUAGUGAGAUGAUACACUAAUCUUUUCAAAUCAAGCAAUAUACUCGCGAUUAUAUGUC